rnacentral:rRNA from 1 species
AGCAGUAGCCGCGGUAAUACGAAGGGUGCAAGCGUUACUCGGAAUUACUGGGCGUAAAGCGUGCGUAGGUGGUGGUUUAAGUCCGUUGUAAAAGCCCUGGGCUCAACCUGGGAAUUGCAGUGGAUACUGGGUCACUAGAGUGUGGUAGAGGAUAGUGGAAUUUCCGGUGUAGCAGUGAAAUGCGUAGAGAUCGGAAGGAACAUCUGUGGCGAAGGCGACUAUCUGGGCCAACACUGACACUGAGGCACGAAAGCGUGGGGAGCAAACAGGAUUAGAUACCCCAGUAGUCCCUGUCUCUUAUAC